rnacentral:rRNA from 1 species
GACGAACGCUGGCGGCGUGCUUAACACAUGCAAGUCGAACGGAAAGGCCCUGCUUUUGUGGGGUGCUCGAGUGGCGAACGGGUGAGUAACACGUGAGUAACCUGCCCUUGACUUUGGGAUAACUUCAGGAAACUGGGGCUAAUACCGGAUAGGAGCUCCAGCUGCAUGGUGGGGGUUGGAAAGUUUCGGCGGUUGGGGAUGGACUCGCGGCUUAUCAGCUUGUUGGUGGGGUAGUGGCUUACCAAGGCUUUGACGGGUAGCCGGCCUGAGAGGGUGACCGGCCACAUUGGGACUGAGAUACGGCCCAGACUCCUACGGGAAGCAGCAGUGGGGAAUAUUGCACAAUGGGCGGAAGCCUGAUGCAGCAACGCCGCGUGCGGGAUGACGGCCUUCGGGUUGUAAACCGCUUUCGCCUGUGACGAAGCGUGAGUGACGGUAAUGGGUAAAGAAGCACCGGCUAACUACGUG